rnacentral:rRNA from 1 species
GCAGUAGCCGCGGGAAUACGAAGGGGGCUAGCGUUGUUCGGAUUUACUGGGCGUAAAGGGUGCGUAGGCGGACUGAUAAGUCAGGGGUGAAAUCCCAAGGCUCAACCUUGGAACUGCCUUUGAUACUGUUAGUCUUGAGUUCGAGAGAGGUGAGUGGAACUGCGAGUGUAGAGGUGAAAUUCGUAGAUAUUCGCAAGAACACCAGUGGCGAAGGCGGCUCACUGGCUCGAAACUGACGCUGAGGCACGAAAGCGUGGGGAGCAAACAGGAUUAGAUACCCCAGUAGUCCCUGUCUCUUAUAC